rnacentral:rRNA from 1 species
AGUCGAACGCGUCUCCGUUAAUGAUUUUAGGUGCUUGCACUUGAAAGAUUUAACAUUGAGACGAGUGGCGAACUGGUGAGUAACACGUGGGUAACCUGCCCUUGAAGUAGGGGAUAACACUUGGAAACAGGUGCUAAUACCGUAUAACAACCAAAACCACCUGGUUUUGGUUUAAAAGACGGCUUCGGCUGUCACUUUAGGAUGGACCCGCGGCGUAUUAGCUUGUUGGUAAGGUAACGGCUUACCAAGGCGAUGAUACGUAGCCGACCUGAGAGGGUAAUCGGCCACAUUGGGACUGAGACACGGCCCAAACUCCUACGGGAGGCAGCAGUAGGGAAUCUUCCACAAUGGACGAAAGUCUGAUGGAGCAACGCCGCGUGAGUGAUGAAGGGUUUCGGCUCGUAAAACUCUGUUGUUGGAGAAGAACAGGUGUCAGAGUAACUGUUGACAUCUUGACGGUAUCCAACCAGAAAGCCACGGCUAACUACGUGCCAGCAGCCGCGGUAAUACGUAGGUGGCAAGCGUUGUCCGGAUUUAUUGGGCGUAAAGCGAGCGCAGGCGGUUUUUUAGGUCUGAUGUGAAAGCCUUCGGCUUAACCGGAGAAGUGCAUCGGAAACCGGGAGACUUGAGUGCAGAAGAGGACAGUGGAACUCCAUGUGUAGCGGUGAAAUGCGUAGAUAUAUGGAAGAACACCAGUGGCGAAGGCGGCUGUCUGGUCUGUAACUGACGCUGAGGCUCGAAAGCAUGGGUAGCGAACAGGAUUAGAUAC